CCUCCGCCGGAAGGGAAGCGGAGCCGCCCUGGCCGAGGGGAGGGGAGAGCGGCGCGGGGGAGGGGACACCGCCCGGCCCGGCGCCCCCGGAGGCGGCCGCUCCGCGCUCCCGUACCUGCGCUGGAAGUCGGUCCGGAAGGGCUCCAGGUUCCUAGGGUGUUGCACAUCUGCUCACAGCUGGCAGUUGCUCCUGCAGGAACAUCUGGAUUGCAACAAUCUGCAUCUCCAAGGCUUAGUCCCUGCUGAAUAUGCCAUUCCCCCAGCCCAGCUAUUUCUUCUACAAAAGGAGAGGAAGACAGGUGUUUCUAGGAGCAGAGUGGGCAUGUGUAGUAAGAGUUGCUUCUAAGUCCUGAGCUUGGCAGUCUUCCUCAUGCAGACAAGAGAUGGGACUUGCUUUGUAAGUCAUCAGCCCCUAGCUGAUGACACAAGAACAGUGAUGUUUACUUUGUGGGAUUCUAAUUCCUCAGCUUUGGCUGCACACAGUUAAAAUACUGAAUUACGCUUAAAAUUAAUGAAUUAUCUGCUGCUUCUUGACCUAAGCACUCCUGCAGCUGUGUCCUCAGGAGCUCCUGUGUUGCCAUCUGAUUCAACACGUGCACAAGGAACACUUUCAAAGGGAGCUGAGUCAUUCUCUAAAUCUGGAACAUCGUCCUCGGAACACAAAACCUUCCCCUGCAGGACUUAAGGGCAAGUAUUAACUGUGUCAUUUGGCAUAAGAUGUUUUAGCUUCUCUUACUUUAAAUUACUAGUGUGUCCUACUGAAAAGCACAUAAUUUAGCU